rnacentral:rRNA from 1 species
GACGAACGCUGGCGGCGUGCUUAACACAUGCAAGUCGAGCGGUAAGGCCCUUUCGGGGUACGACGAGCGGCGAACGGGUGAGUAACACGUGGGUGACCUGCCCUCCAGCUCUGGGAGUAAGCCUGGGAAACCGGGUACUAAUACCGGAUAUGACUCCAUGACGCAUGUUGUGGGGUGGAAAGCCUUGUGCGGCUGAGGAUGGGCCCGCGGCCUAUCAGCUUGUUGGUGGGGUGAUGGCCUACCAAGGCGACGACGGGUAGCCGGCCUGAGAGGGCGACCGGCCACACUGGGACUGAGACACGGCCCAGACUCCUACGGGAGGCAGCAGUGGGGAAUCUUGCGCAAUGGGCGAAAGCCUGACGCAGCGACGCCGCGUGAGGGAUGACGGCCU